UGUUACUUUCUACUAUUGCAUGUUCAGCUGCAAAUUCAGCUCACAACACUUUUCUUCAUUGCCUUGUAAACCAUUCAGAGCCCUCUCAUCCCAUAACCUCAGCGAUUUUCACGCCAAACAACGCUUCAUUCUCCUCAGUCUUGGAAGCUUACGUCAGAAACCUUCGUUUCAACACCUCCACAACCCGUAAGCCGUUCCUUAUAGUAACUGCAUUGCAUGUGUCCCAUAUACAGGCAUCCAUUAUCUGUGCUCAGAAGUAUAACUUGCAAAUGAAAAUUCGAAGUGGAGGCCAUGACUACGAUGGUUUGUCCUACGUGGCUGAGGUCCCAUUCUUUAUCCUUGACAUGUUCAAACUCCGAACCAUUGAAGUUGACAUACACACUGAGACCGCUUGGGUACAAGCUGGUGCAACGGUUGGUGAAGUUUUUUACAAAAUUGCUAAUAAGAGUAAAAUUCAUGCUUUCCCAGCAGGGAUUUGUCCCACUGUUGGGAUAGGAGGCCACCUAAGUGGCGGCAGUUAUGGCAAUUUGAUGAGAAAAUACGGUCUCUCAGUGGACAAUAUUGUUGAUGCACAAAUGGUUGAUGUUCAAGGUAGAUUGCUUGAUAGAAAAUCCAUGGGUGAAGAUCUCUUUUGGGCCAUCACAGGUGGUGGAGGAUCUAGCUUUGGUGUGGUCCUUGCCUACAAAAUAAAGCUAGUUCGAGUUCCUGAAACAGUCACUGUUUUCAACGUUCAGAGGACCUUGGAGCAAAACGCCACCGAUAUAGUUUAUAAAUGGCAGCAUGUUGCACCAACUAUCGACAACGACCUUUUCAUUAGACUUGUCUUGGACGUUGUAAACGGUACAAAAACUGGAACAAAGACUGUAAGAGCUUCUUUCGUAGCUCUAUUCCUUGGCGACUCCAAAAGCCUUGUUUCUCUCUUGAAUGAGAAGUUCCCUCAAUUAGGUUUGAAGCAAUCUGACUGCAUCGAAACAAGUUGGCUUCGUUCAGUGCUGUUUUGGACAAACAUCAACAUUACAGCACCUCUUGAGAUUUUGCUUGAUAGACAACCACAAUCACCCGUGAACUUCUUGAAAAGAAAAUCUGAUUAUGUACAAAAACCAAUUUCCAAAGACGGUUUUGAAGGAAUUUGGAAGAAGAUGAUUGAGUUGGAGGAUACACUGUUUCAAUUCAAUCCUUAUGGUGGAAGAAUGGCUGAGAUUCCAUCAACAGCAACUCCUUUCCCUCAUCGAGCAGGGAACCUAUGGAAGCUUCAAUACCAAGCCAAUUGGAGGCAAGCAGGGAAAGAAGUAACAAAUCACUACAUAAACUUGACAAGAAAACUUCACAAGUACAUGACUCCUUUUGUCUCCAAGAACCCAAGAGAGGCUUUCUACAAUUAUAAGGACCUUGACUUGGGAAUUAAUCACAAUGGCAAGAAAAGCUAUGCUGAAGGAAAAGUUUACGGAGUGGAGUAUUUCAAGGAUAACUUCGACAGGUUGGUUGAAAUAAAGACCAAGGUUGAUCCUCAUAAUUUCUUUAGAAACGAACAAAGCAUCCCUACUCUGCCAUAUGCAAAGAGUUAGGAUAAUAGCGACUCAAAUGUUAUUAAUUUCUGUAGUUUUGGUCAUUAGUUUAUUGCGUACUAUAUUGGAUCAUGGAAAUAAGUGAUGUUUAAUAAACUAUUUGUUUGGUUUGGUAUUAAAUUAUGAAAUAAAUCGUGUUUUAAUCAUGUAGCUCUUGUGUGUUAUUUAAAUAGUUACAUAAGAGAUGCAGUUUUGAUAGAAAUCUUUUUCUGAUCAGCUAAAAAUAUAUAAUAAAUUUUAGUCAUUAUUAAAAAAAUUAUAAUAAAUAAAUAUAUCACGUAGCAAGUCAUUUCUUUAUUAAUACACAAUGCAUGCAAAUAUAUAUAUAUAUAUAUAUAUAUAUAUAUAUAUUUUGUUUACGUAUAACCAAAAAUUGUACGUAAAAGUGAAACUGACAUCUAUGAUAGGCUUAUUUCUGAAAGUUCACUGCAGGAGGAGUUUGAAUCUUUAAUGAUCAGUAAAAAUAAAAACAUUAAGGAAACUGAAUAGUAAUUGUAUUCUAAAAUUUUGACGUGUUUGAUAUCACAAGAGAUAUUUGCAAUCAGAAUACGUUAUUUUUUAAACAACCUAGGUAGAAAAUAAUUUUUUAAAGUGAUACUAGUGGUUUGAUUUAUUAUGAAAAUAUCUUAUAAUUACAAAAAAAUUAUAUAAAGUUAGACAAGAUAUCAAAUAUAUAUUUUUAUAGUUAAACUAAUCUAAAAGUUCUCUUAACUAGUUCUCAAUAAUUAGUGUUCUCGUCAAUAAAUUUUGGUUUGAUUUUAUAGGUGGAUUUCGAGUUAAUCUUUCAACACUACUGUUUUGAGAUGCUUGAAGAUCAUAAUGAAAAGAGUUUACCUGUUAAUAAAAUUCUGACGAUCAUGUCAAUAAAAACAUUAAAAAAUAUGAGUGUAGUGUGUAUUGUAUGAAAUAAUGUUUACCUUUUGUUCGGAGUCUUAAAAUUCUUUUAACACUCGAAGAUCCUUAUUCAAAAGUUAGUAACUACAUAAUAAUUUGUUAAUAUACCCUUUUAUUUUAGGGAUGUUGAUAUACCAAGUAUCUAUCUACAUUUGUUGAUGACUUAUUAGUGUCAUUCCUUUUGAAAAGACAAAAAAAUACGUAAAUAUAAUUAUAUAUAUAUAUAAAUAUAAUUAUAUAUAUAUAUAUAUAUAUAUAUAUAUAUAUAUAUAUAUAUAUAUAUAUAUNNNNNNNNNNNNNNNNNNNNNNNNNNNNNNNNNNNNNNNNNNNNNNNNNNNNNNNNNNNNNNNNNNNNNNNNNNNNNNNNNNNNNNNNNNNNNNNNNNNNAUAUAUAUAUAUAUAUAUAUGAGUGUGUAUAUUAUAUGCGGCUAAAAACAUCUCGACACACGAAAGUGAUCAUAACAUACAAGUACAAAGAAGUAGAAGCUAGAUCAGCAAUUUUAGAAUAAAUUUCAAAACCUUGCCAUACACAUACCGAAAUUAAGCUACAUAUAAUUAAGAAUAUCACUAAUCCUCAAUCAAGCACACUAAGUUGCUCUUACUAUUAGAGUAAUAUAAGAUUAUCGAUGAAGGUUCAUCUAUGCACAAGCUCAAUUUAAUUAAAUUCUAUAAAUAAAUUAUCAUGUGAUUGGUGGUAAACAUUAAAUUUACUAGCAUUUAUUAAUAAAUACACUCAACUAAUUUGAAUGUUGAAGUAUCUUUUUACAAGUACAGUAUCAAAACAUAGGUAUUACCGACAUUCAAAAUUAGUCGAUAAUGUCAAAAUUUUGUCAUUAAAUAAAAACUAUUGACAAAAAUAAAUUUGUCGAUAACUAAUAAUAUUAUUAUUAAUAAUUUAAAAAAUAUUAUUUAUUAUUAAAAUUAUUAUUAUUAGAAUUUACGGUUAUUGUUUACUAUUAUUUUAUUAUAUGUUAUUAAUUAUAUAAUGUUAUUAAAUAUAAUAUUACCAAUUGAUGCGGAGGAAUUUGAACCAAGUUCACUGACUACAUGUGACUGUAAGCAUUAGACCAAAAUUACUUACUUACCAUAUUAUGUUUUUUUAUUCUUAUUAUCAUAUUAGUAUUAUAAUUAUUAUAACUAUUAUUAUCAUUGUUAUUAAUAUUACUAAUAUUAAUAAAAUUAAAAUAUUAUUAAUACAAAUAUUAUCAAUAUUAUUUUUAUUAAUAAUAUCAUUAUUAUUAAUAAUAUUCUUAUUAUUAAUAAUAUUUUUAUUAUUUAUAGUAUUUAAUUAUUAUUAAUAUUAUUAUUAUUAUUAAGAUUAUUAUUAAUAAUAUUAUUGUAAUAUUAUUUUUAAUAUUAAUAUUAUUAUAGUUAUUAUAUUUAUUAUUAGUUUUAUUAAUAUUAUAUCAUAAUUAUUAAUAUUAGUACUACUUUUAAUAAUAUUAUUCAUAUUAUCAGUAUAAUUAUUAAUAUAUGAUUAUUAAUAUUAACUUUAUUCUAAGUCUUAAUUUUAUUAAAAAUAUUAAUAUUAUUGUAAUUAUUAAUUUUAUAUUAAUAUAAAUAUAAAUAUAAAUAUUAUUGUAAUUACUAUUAUUACUAUUAUUAUUAUUAAUCUUAUUAAUAUAAAUAUAAUUAUUAUUAUUAUUGUAGAAUUUACUGACGAUUUAUAUCCGCAUCUAAUUAUCGACAAAUUUUAUUGGAUAUUGAUUCGUUUCAAAUUACUUUUUUAAUCUUAAGAUUUGUAAAUCAAAUUUACUGGUAAUUACCAAUGGACAUAAUUCCGUCAAUAAAUUUUUUUAAUAAUUAGUUUUGUCAGUAAUAAAAAACAUAAACCCGUAAAUUUGAUAAAUUUGUUGUUAAUAAUUAGAAUUUUUUUAUAGUAUAUCUUCUGUGACCAGAGACAAGUAAAUACUAUCUUUCAAACGACGAAAUUAGUAUAACAAUAAAUAAAUAAAAAACGUACUCAAACAUUCAAAAACAAUAUAUAUUAUUAAAUAUAUUAUUUUGUGGUUUACAUAUUAAAAAAAUUGUUUUCCAAACUAAUUUUUUCUAUAUUUUAAAACUAGUUUAUAUAUUUGAUUAAUUUACUGUAUUAGUGUUUAGUCAAAUGUCAUGAACUCCAUAGUCACUAAAUAUUAAGUUGCAUGAUGCCUCCAUCACAAACGUGUGACAUCUAACUACUGAUAAAUUAAUAAACUACCUGAUUAUGACUUUGCAUAAAAAUAGUAUGUAUAUAUGAAUUAAUGUAUUUCCAAUACUCUCUAAUGCGAUUGAAUAUUUAAAACAACCUCAAAGAUGACUUAUAUAUGGAACUUCAAAAUUAAAUUCUUCAAACUUUAUUUACGCUCUUCAAGGAAUAGAUAAUAUCCUAUAAUCCAAUGAAUAAGUUAUUUGACAACGAAAAUUGAAGCAUGUUCAAGAAUUCCACAAGCUUCUUGAUAAUAUAAUUUGAAUAAAAAAUUAAAUUUGAUAGUGACAAAAACAAGUGGAGUCAAGUUUUUUUAUUUAAAGUGUGGAUUAUGUAUGUGAGGAUUAUAUGUCAUGGUUAACAUAGUCUUAUCCUUUUUAUACGGGUUGCGAUAUUUUUUAAAUAUCUUAUUUAAUUUAUUUAUUUAUUUUGUUAAUAAAAAUAAUGAUAGUUAAUAUGGAUUGACAUCUUUUAAAUUUAUUUAUUUAUUGAUAAAAAUAAUGAUAAUGACAUGUUAUCUGGUCUUUAAUUAGGCUAUUACUUUUUCCACAAUCUUUUUUGAAACAUAUUUUCUAAAGUUUUUUAAAUUAUAUUUUCAUCAAAAUAAUAAGUCUUUGUCCCUUUUAAAUUUAUAUGUGUAAAUUAUAUUAAAAGCUAUACAAUUUAAUAAUUUUUUAAUAAUAUUUUAUGUAUUAUUUUUAUUGAUAAAUAGGGUAUAUCCUAAACCCUAAACAACUUCCUCUUAAUUAAAAAUCCUGCGCUGGAUCCACAACUCAGUGAUGCAUUACAUCAAAGUCAUUUUGUUCAAGCAUGAAUUAAGUUCAAAAAUUCUUUGAAUCAAAAGUCGCGGAACUGAGCACUAAUUUCUCUCUUCUGUAUAAAUGUGUGAAUGUGUUUUGAUGUGAAAUAUUCAUGUUUUGUGUGGUACUUAUUUUCUUUCUGUAACUUAAAUAUUAAUGUAUUUUAAAUAUAAAAAGAUUUCUUGUUGGCUAGUGUGGAAAAUGGGACUAAGACUUGAUUAUUUUGAUGAAAAUAUAAUUUGAAAAAUUUAGAAAAUAUGUUUCGAUGAAAAGAUUGUGGAAAAAAUAAUAGCCUAAUUAAGGAUUAGAUAAGGUGUAACUAUCAUAUUUAAUUUUUGUAUUCAAAUCUAGGCCAUCUUCUCAUUUGUCUUUCACAAUUUCUUCCUCGAAAUGGUUCCAUUAUAAAAUCCAAUGUAGAUGAUGCUCAAUAGAAACACUAAAAACUCCUCUUCUAUCAAAAGAUAACAAAAAAUGGAAGUCCUUCCUCCUAUAUUUUUCAUUGUUGUGUUACUUUCUACAAUUUCAUGCUCAGCUUCAGCUGCAAAUUCAGCUCACAACAAUUUUCUUCAUUGUCUUGUAAGCCAUUCAGAGCCCUAUCAUCCCAUAACCUCAGCGAUUUUCACGUCAAACAACGCUUUAUUCUCCUCAGUCUUGAAUGAUUAUGUCAGAAACCUUCGUUUCAACACCUCCACAACCCGUAAGCCGUUCCUUAUAGUAACUGCAUUGCAUGUGUCCCAUAUACAGGCAUCCAUUAUCUGUGCUCAGAAGUAUAACUUGCAAAUGAAAAUUCGAAGUGGAGGCCAUGACUACGAUGGUUUGUCCUACGUGGCUGAGGUCCCAUUCUUUAUCCUUGACAUGUUCAAACUCCGAACCAUUGAAGUUGACAUACACACUGAGACCGCUUGGGUACAAGCUGGUGCAACGGUUGGUGAAGUUUUUUACAAAAUUGCUAAUAAGAGUAAAAUUCAUGCUUUCCCAGCAGGGAUUUGUCCCACUGUUGGGAUAGGAGGCCACCUAAGUGGCGGCAGUUAUGGCAAUUUGAUGAGAAAAUACGGUCUCUCAGUGGACAAUAUUGUUGAUGCACAAAUGGUUGAUGUUCAAGGUAGAUUGCUUGAUGAAAAAUCCAUGGGUGAAGAUCUCUUUUGGGCCAUCACAGGUGGUGGAGGAUCUAGCUUUGGUGUGGUCCUUGCCUACAAAAUAAAGCUAGUUCGAGUUCCUGAAACAGUCACUGUUUUCAGAGUUGAGAGGACCUUGGAGCAAAACGCCACCGAUAUAGUUUAUAAAUGGCAGCAUGUUGCACCAGCUAUCGACAACGACCUUUUCAUUAGACUUAUCUUGGACGUUGNNNNNNNNNNNNNNNNNNNNNNNNNNNNNNNNNNNNNNNNNNNNNNNNNNNNNNNNNNNNNNNNNNNNNNNNNNNNNNNNNNNNNNNNNNNNNNNNNNNNCAUAUUUGACAUGCUUGCGUGACAUUAAUUGACGUUGUAGACGUGAUAUUUGGUGAGGAUGUGACACUGAUUCUAUAUUAUAAUAUAUGACCUGUAGCACACGCAAAACUGGUUACUUGUGUGUUUGUAAGUAGUUACUUAUGUGACGUUUAUGUCUACCCACUCUUCAUGAAAAAGAAUCAUUUUUUUAAUAAGAACCAUAUAUUACAUCGGUUAGAUGACUUAAUCGCUGUAAUAACCCUACUAGAACUAUCCAGCCACAAGUUCCUCCACAUAUACUGGCUCACGCAAAACUGAUUACCCGUGUGUUUGUAAGUGGUUACCUAUGUGACAUUUAUGGUCACCCACUCUUCAUGAAAAAAAAAAUCAAUUUUUUUAAUAAAAACCUUAUAUUACAUCGGUUAGAUGACUUAACCGAUGUAAAAAUCAUAUAUUACAUCAGUUAGAUAACUUAACUGAUGUAAUAACCUUACCAGAGCUGGUUACCCAUCCCCUGACUCACGCAAAAUUGGUUAUCCGUGUGUCUAUAAAUGGUUACCUAUGUGACUUAUGACCCACCCACUCUUUAUGAAAAAAAAAAUCAAUGUUUUUUAAUAUGGAUCAUAACCAAUAAUAUGAGUCAUUCUGAGUAAAAAAAAUACAUUACACGGAUUGUUUCUAAGAACCGCUGUAAUAUAUUAUUUUUUACUCUAUUUUAAAGUUCGCGCUGCUCAUUCGUGUGCAAUCUCACUCUGUCACGUCAUUGUCAUGUCCACAGCGUCAAAUGUAUGUCAUGUGCAGACUAUGUCAAUAUAUCAGGACUCUAUUUAGAUAGUUAUAUAAUUGAGAUGUAGUUUUUGCUAAAAAUCUUGUUGAAAUAUUAAGAAAAUAUUGAGUUUAUUUAUUCAUGCUUAAGUUUAGAAGUUGAGACAAUGAAAAAUAAAGAAAGAAAUAAAACUGAUGUUACGUUAGACAAUAAUUGAAAUAGUAAUGACAUUAGUAGAAUGGUGGAUUUGAGGGAGGAAUUAACAAUGAUGGAAUUGGAAUUGGAGAAUAAGGUGCACGGCAGAGUGAUUGCCAAGUUUGAUGAUAGAAAGGCGUGGUUGGAUAAAGUAUGGACAUAAUAAUUUUAUAAGGAAAGAUCAAAUCAACAUACAUCUCCAACUAUACCAAUUAGUAUUCAAAAUUUAAAAUUACUUGUCAAUAAAUCUUAAAAAAACACAAAUAAUUUUUUUUAAGUUUAAGGAAAAUGAUAUAUUGACAUCCUGAUCAAUAUAUUGAAAUUUUUCGUCAUUAUUUAUUGAGGAAAAGAUGUUUAUUAUAAAAAAUAUCUUUAAUUUAAUUUAAUAUAUAUAUAUAUAUGAAUUUUAAAAUCUUUAUCUCAUACAAAUAAUUAAAAAAUAACUAUAAUCUAUUGUUACAUAAAAAAAUAUUAGUAAACGGCAUGCUUAUGAUUUUGUAUAAAACAAUAUGUAUAUAUGAAUUAAUGUAUUUCCAGUACUCUCUAAUGCGAUUUAAUAUUUAACACAACCUCAGAGAUGACUUAAAUAUAUGAAAUUUCAAAAUUCAAUUCAUCAAACUUUAUUUCUGUUCUGCAAGGAAUAAAUAAUAACCUAUAAUCCAAUAAAUAAGUUAUUUGAUGACAACGAAAAUUUAAGCAUGUUCAGAAAUUCCACAAGCUACUUGAUUUGAAUACAAAAAUUAAAUAUGAUAGUGACAAAAACAAGUAGAGUCAAGUUUUUUUAUUUAAAGUGUGGAUCAUGUAUGUGAGAAUUAUAUAUCAUUGGGUAACAUAAUUUUAUUUUAUUUUAUAUGGAUUGUGACAUUCUUUAAAUUUUUUAUUUAAUUUAUUUAUUUUUCGAUAAAAAGAAUAUAGUAACACAUUAUCUGAACCUUAAUUAGGUUAUUAUUAUUUUUACAGUCUUUUAAUUGAAACAUAUUUUUCUAAAGUUUUUCAAAUUAUAUUUUCAUCAAAAUAAUAAAGUCUCGGUCCCUUUUUCCACAAUAGCCAACCAGAAAAUAUUUUUUAUUUAAAAUAAAUUAAUAUUUAAGUUACAGAAAGAAAAUGAGCAAUUAAAAAUAUAGGAGAUGCCAAUUCCACACAAAAAUUAAUAUUUCACAUCAAAACACAUUCACACAUUUAUACUGAAGACGUGCCUUUUAAAACUUAGAAUAUUAUAAAACAUCAAGAUUUUACUAAUCAUUAACAAAAAAUGGAAAAAAUGUCACUAGAAAAUAUUAUAAUAAAAGUAAUAUCCAGUUUAAUAUUUUUAAUAUUAUGAAAAUAGUAUCAUGAUUCAAAAAAGUGAAAAAAAAAUCAAUAUUCCUUCAUGGUUUCUAUACUUGGCCACAUAUAAAAUAAAAUAAAGACAUGAAUAAUGAUCAAAUCAAUACUAAGAUUCAAAAAAUAUAUUUUUUGUGAGUAAUUCAAAUAAUUUUUUUAUCAACCAAAAAAAAUAUAAUAAUGAAAUACCUGGAAUAGUUGAACUCAUAUACAAUUAAAGUUUUACAAUAACUAAAGUAUCAUCAGAAUGACAAAAAUAUUUAAAAAAUAAUGGACUUUACAUAGGAAUACAUGUUCAUCAUAAAGAAAAUGAUCUCUAAUUAUUUUAUAAAAAAUAUUUAUGAAUUUUAAAAUAUUUAUCUCUCUUUAAAAUAAUUAAAAAAUAACUAUGUCAGAUAUUUAUUUUAUUUAAAACGCCAGUGGCGGAGCUUAAAAUCUAGUUUGUAGGGUUCAAAAUAAAUAAAUAAUUAUAUGUAAUUAAAAUUAAAAUUAAAAUUAAUUUGAAUGUUUUAUUUUGAAUAUUUAAUCAUAUUUUUUUAGAUAUUAGUUUUACUCUUGAAUAUUUUUUUAUAUUCAAUUUUUUCUUUACUUUAUUCAUGCCGUUAAUUACUUUCAUUUCAAGACUUGUAUAUAUAUUUAUUCAUUAUUAAAUAUAAAUUUAGAAAAAUUAGUUAUAACUAUUGUUGUGAAACAGUUGUUUAGGAAAUAAACAGAAGUAAAGUCCGAUAAGUAAAACUCAAAGUCAAGUUCAUUAAAGAAUGUUAAAAGAAGCUUUAAUUUGAUCUCAAAUUAUAAUUAUUAUUAAUAAAUAGUAUAAUUAUUAAUAUUAAUAUUUUUCAUAUAUUUAAUAUUAUUUAUAUUAUUAUUACUAUUCAAAUUAAUAAAAUUAUUAAUUAUUAUAAUAAUGUUAUUAAAUAUUAUUAAUAUUUUAUUAAAUAUCUUUCUUCAUUAUUAAACAUAAAUUUACAAAAAAUUGUUAUUACUAAUUUUAUGAAAAGUUAUUUGGGAAAUAAACAGAAGUAAAGUUUUCUAGAAAAUUAUUAUUAAUACUUUAUUAAAUAUUAUUAAUACUUUAUCAAAUAUUAUUAAUACUUUAUCAAAUAUUAUUAAUAGUUUAUCAAAUAUUACUAAUAUUUUAUCAAAUAUUACUAAUAUUUUAUUAAAUAUUACUAAUAUUAUUAAAUUAGUAUUACUAAAUAUUAUAAUAUUGUUAAAUAUUGUAAAUAUUAUAAAUAAUGUUAUAUUAUUAAUUUAGAUAUUUAUAGAUAAUAGAUAGUUGAUAGAUAAUAAAGAUCAGUAAAUAAUAGAGAUUUAUAAGUAAUAGUUUAUAGAUAAUGUUAGGUAAAGUUGAAUUUACGUAUAAACAUAUAUAAACUGUGGGUAAAAAUUCAUACUUAAUUUUUAAUAGAUUUCAAUUAUAAGGAUUGUGUUAGAAAUAUAUUAGAUAAUGUCCUGUAAACAUUUUUUAUAGUAAAAUAUGUAAGUAGUAUCAAACAAAAACAUAAAUAUUUUUAAUUGGAUAUAGAAAUAGAAAUAAAUUUUGUGUAGAAGGGCAAGACCCCCUUAAUUAGUCAAUACUAAGAUCUGUUCCUAUGGAAUUUAUUUUGAUGAAAACAAAGCUUUAAAUAAUGGAUUGUAAAAUAUUUGUAUGAUUUUUUUAAUUUAUAAUAUUAGGAUUUGUUGAAUUGUUGCAGUUGAUACUUCUCGAGAUAUAAAAUUCAGAGAGGUGCUGAUUGGUGAUGCUCUGAUAGUGGGCGCUGCAGCAGAUUUUCUGCUCUGCAAUUUGUCUGUUGCUUGCUGAUGACCUGCUAUCUUCUGCUGCUCUGCCACUACUCUCCAUUUUUGACAAUGAAUUAAUGUAAAAGUUAAAAUCAUAAAAAUAUAAUUGGAUGUCAAAAUUGUGACUUUUAUUACUCAAAAUAUGCAGUCAUUUUCAGGAUGCUUAUAAAUCCAAUACAAAUCAUCAUGCUCAAUGGACUCACCACAAAUCCUUUUCUUUGUUUAUCAAACAACAUUCGGAAAACCAGAAAUGGGAGUCAUUUCUCCUCACAGAAUACAACCAUCGAUGUUACUCAUCCUUGUGUUGCUUUCUAUAUUUACAUUUUCAGCUUCAGCUGCAACUUCAGCAGACAACACUUUUCUUCAUUGCCUUGUAAACCAUUCAGAGUCCUCUCACCCCAUAGCUUCAGCAGUUUUUACUGCAAACAACGACUCAUUCUCUUCAGUGUUGCAAGCCCAAAUAAAAAACCUUCGUCAACACCUCCACAACCCCGAAGCCAUUCCUUAUAGUAACUGCAUUGCAUGUAUCCCAUGUACAAGCAUCCAUUAUAUGUGCCCAAAAGCACAACUUGUUGAUGAAAAUCCGUAGUGGUGGCCAUGACUAUGAAGGGGCGUCUUACGUGACUUCAACUCCAUUCUUCGUCCUUGACAUGUUUCAACUCCGAUCCAUUGAGGUUGACAUAGACACUGAGACCGCUUGGGUUCAAGCGGGUGCAACACUUGGAGAAGUCUAUUACAGAAUUGCCGAGAAGAGUAAAACUCAUGGUUUCCCAGCAGGGGUUUGUCCCACUGUUGGAGUGGGAGGUCACAUAAGUGGUGGUGGCUAUGGCAAUAUGAUGAGAAAAUAUGGUCUCACAGUUGAUAAUGUUAUUGAUGCACAAAUGGUUGAUGUUCAAGGUAGAUUGCUGGAUAGAAAAUCCAUGGGUGAAGAUCUGUUUUGGGCCAUCACAGGUGGUGGUGGAUCUAGUUUUGGCGUGAUCAUUUCCUACAAAAUAAAGCUAGUUCGAGUUCCUGAAACAAUCACGGUUUUUAGAGUUACAAAGACUCUCGAGCAAAAUGCCAUCGAUAUAGCUUAUAAAUGGCAGCAAGUAGCACCAGCUAUUGACAACGACCUUUUCAUUAGGUUUAUCUUGGACGUUGUAAACAGUACAACAAAUGUGACAAAGACUGGAAGAGCUACUUUCGUAGCUCUAUUCCUUGGUGACUCCAAAAGCCUUGUUUCUCUCAUGAAUGAGAAGUUCCCCGAACUGGGUUUGAAGCAAUCUGACUGCAUCGAAACAAGUUGGCUUCGUUCCGUGGUAUUUUUUGCAGACAUCAACAUUACAGAACCUGUUGAGAUUUUGCUUGACAGACAACCACAGCCACUCAUAUACUUGAAAAGGAAAUCUGAUUAUGUAGAGAAACCAAUUUCCAAAGAGGGGUUGGAAGGGAUAUGGAAGAAGAUGAUUGAGUUGGAGAAUGCAGUGGUAUUACAUUUCAAUCCUUAUGGUGGAAGAAUGGCUGAGAUUCCUUCAACAGCAACACCUUUCCCUCAUCGAGCUGGGAACUUAUGGAAGGUCCAAUACCAAGCAAAUUGGAAUGAGGCAGGGAAAGAGGUAGCUGAUCACUACAUAAACAUGUCAAGAAUACUUCACAACUACAUGACUCCUUUUGUCUCCAAGAACCCAAGAGGGGCUUUCUUCAAUUACAAGGACUUUGACUUAGGAAUUAACCACAAAGGUAAUAACAGCUACACUGAAGGGAGAGUUUAUGGAGUGGAGUAUUUCAAGAAUAACUUCGAUAGGUUGGUUGAAAUAAAAACCAAGGUUGAUCCUCUUAAUUUCUUCUGGAAUGAACAAAGCAUUCCUCUGCUGCGAAACCUGGAAGAGUUAGAAUAAUGGUGAAUCAGAUUAUUGUUGAAUAAUAAUAUUUUGUUACAAGUGUUAAUGGAGAAUAAAUGGUUAUGGAGAGUUUAUAUUAAGAGUAUUCAAUGGUAGUUGUAACUUUUUAUGCCUGUAACUCUUUAUAUAUGUAACAAUAAGAAAAUAUAGGCAAGAAAAAAUAUAGAAAGAAAUACAAUAAAUAAAAAGGAGAUUAAUCUAAUCCCUCUAAUUACUUUCUCUUUUUCUCUUGUUCUAGCAAAUUUUGUAACUCUAAAAUACUACCAAAAAAGUAGUACCAGAGUUGUAGACCCUUAACUAAAAAUUCAAAAGUAAAAAAUUGGUCAGCACAAACAAUACUUCAACAACCAACACUACUAUUUAUAGUAAUGUUCAAAUUAAAGAUGAAAAUUAUUAUUUUUGGCUAUAAAAAUGGAAACUUUGUUUACCAUUUUGAAUAUCUCAAGUUCAUACAAAUGGAAUGUACAAGUGUAAAUACAUAUUAGUUAAAAGAAAGACAAUCUCAAAUGUUGAAAUUGUGAGGAUGAUUCAAAGAGGAGUCUUUCAAUUAUAUUAUUAAGAAUCAUGAAGAAAAAACAAUCAGGAUAAUGAGAUUUAAACUAAUUUAAAAAUCAAAAAUUGUUUUAGUUUUUAAAAUAGUAUCUAAUUUAGUUACCCUAACAACUAAUUAUUUUUUCAAAUUGAUUUUUAUUUUAUGAUUUUUUUAUAUUUUUAUAGUAAAAAAAAAAACUUUUGUUAAGAUAAUUCUUCAUUUGUCUCAAAAUUUAAAUUAUCUCAAAAUUUAAAUUAAAUAAUAAAAAAUAUAUUAAAGUGUAAGAGCAAAACAAUAAGAUAAAAUGAUUCAUGAUACUCUUUAUCUAUCAUUAUUAGACAAAAAAAGUUGUUUAAAAUUAAAGAACUUUUGAAUUUUGAGUAUUAAAUUUUUUUGAAACAUAAUGAUUAUUCUAGGUAUUAGAAUUUUUGAACAUUAGAAAAAAAUUAUAACAACUGCUUUACAACCGAAUCCAACACCUUAAAAUAAGACUCCAAGUACAUCAAGUUCCUUACUCUCCACAAGUUCUUCAAGCUCAACUAAAAAAAAUCUAAAAAAUUUAAUAAUAUUUAUAAGAGAUACAAUUAUUUUGUUACGAGACUAAAAUAUUUUUUUUACAGAAAGAUUGUGCAAGAAGAAAUUGACAGAAAUGUUUCGGAGAAUAAGAGAAGUUUUAGAGAUUAAAAAAAUAACACAUUAAGGGAGAAUGUUAAAUAAUAUAUUUUUUAUAAAUAUUUUAUGGUCAUUGAAUACUUAUUAAAGAUUUAUUACAGGUAGUUACUACUAUUAUGUCACUUUUUAUAUUUGUAAUGGUUAAAAAACUUUGUUAUAAAAUUUUAAGAGUUCUUUUUAAUUUAUAAAAUACAUAUAAAUGAUGGAAGAAAAAAUAUAAAAAUAAAUAAUCUAAAAAAAAUAGUUCAAUCCUUUAAUUAUGUUCCUCUUGUAGUUUGUUGGUUAUUACUAUGUGGAUUGGUAAUAAAUAUAGCUAAAUGUUAUUAUGUUAUGAUAUUUUUAAAUAAAAUGCGGGAAAAGAUUUAAUGAUGGUAAAUAAAUAUUGUAAAUGGUUGAAUUUUUUAAAAUAAAGUAUCAGAUUUAUCGACGGAUUUUUACCCAUGACUCUAAAUACGGUGGUAAAUUUAGUAUUAUCUACUAAUAUUAUUUAUAAGUUUGAAUUCGUAGAUAAAUUUAAAAUUACUUCUACAAAAUAUUAUUCACGAAUAUGAAUUUGUAGAUAAAUUCAAUAUUACCUAUAGAGUAUUAUCAAUGACUCUCUAUCCGUAGAUAAAUUUUACAUUAUACAUAAAACUAUAUUCGUAAAUAAAUUCAAUAUUAUUAUUAAUACAAAUAUUUGUGUUAACAAUAUUAUUAAUAUUAGGAAUAUAAAUAAUAUUAAUUAUAAUAAUUAUGUACAUAAUAUGGUAAAUAAGAAUAUUAAUAGUAUUAAAGAUAUUGAUAAUAAUAAUAUUAAAAGUAUUGAUAAUAAAUAAUAAUACUAAUAUUAUUAAUAAUACUAAUAUUAUUAAUAAUAUUAGUAUUAAUAAUAAUAUUUAUUUGUGGAGUCAAAUUUGUUAUUUAUGAAUUUUUCCGUAAAUAAAUAAAAAUAUAAUUCAUAUUGAUUUUAUUGCACUACAUACUUAUCAACUUUAAUAGUGUUGACAAAACCAAUAAAAGAUAGAGAUAUAGGCGCAGUAGUGUAGUGUGUUAAUGUACCUAAAAUUUGAAUUUAGAUUUUUUAAGUUAGAUAAAUGCAAAGAGGUAUAUUUAAAUUUGCUUCUACUUUAGUCAACUCUAUUUAAAGUCUCUUUAAUUAAUACAUAAUAUAAUAUAAGCUAAUUCAAGUCCAUUGUAUACAAACUCUGAUGUGGGCAAUCCUUAUUUUUCAUAAAACUUAGUAAACUUCAAAUUUACAAAACCAUAUCAAUAGCCUUUCAUUUUGACAAAAAUACAAGUAUAGUCAUCAUAUAAUUUAACAAAAACCAUCUCAAAAUUAAUUGUAAGAUUUUUUGAAUCAAACAGUCCCUUUUCGUUUUCUUGCAAAAUCACAACUUCAUUAAUUACACAAACUCAUAAAAGUUUGCUUUUUAAAAGUAAGACAAAUUGUCAAGAAAGGAUAACCAAGACCAACAUCUUAGCUAUUAUUUUAUAAAUACUUUUAAUAAAAGCGACGAAACUGUGAGUAGAGUGGGGGUGAUGGUGGGCUUUCUUAAUCUCUCAAUUUCUCUUUCUAAGUGGCAUUUGAGUUUAUUUAAUGUUUUGAAUGUUAAUGUAUAUUUUUCUAAAUAAAAAUUGCAUAUGAAGGUCAAAAUAAACCACUACCAUGUUUCACAUUUCUUGGUGGAUCCUUAUAAAAUUCCAUAAAUGUGCCAAAUAUACUCACUGAAAAUCUUCUUUUAUUUGUUAUUCCAAGACCAUCGUUAAGAUACUCAUACAUGGGAGCUCUUUCUCUGCAUAGAAUACAAUUAUCAAUAUUUCCAAUUUUUGUGUUUCUUUCUCUUGUUUGGUCCUCUUCUUUUGCAAAUUCACUACAUGACAAUUUUCUUGGUUGCCUUGUAAACCAUUCAGAGCCCUCUCAUCCCAUAACCUCAGCAAUUUUUACACCAAACAACACCUCAUUCUCCUCAGUGUUGCAGGCCUACAUCAGAAACCUUUGUUUCAACACCUCCACAACCCGGAAGCCAUUCCUUAU
rnacentral:lncRNA from 1 species